GCAUAUCAAUAAGCGGAGGAAAAGAAACCAACAGGGAUUGCCUCAGUAACGGCGAGUGAAGCGGCAACAGCUCAAAUUUGAAAUCUGGCUCCUUCGGGGUCCGAGUUGUAAUUUGCAGAGGAUGCGUCGGGUACGGGUCCCUACCGAGUUCCCUGGAACGGGACGCCAUAGAGGGUGAGAGCCCCGUCUGGUAGGAUACCCAGCCCAUGUGACGCUCCCUCGACGAGUCGAGUAGUUUGGGAAUGCUGCUCUAACGGGAGGUAUACUCCUUCCAAAGCUAAAUACCGGCUGGAGACCGAUAGCGCACAAGUAGAGUGAUCGAAAGAUGAAAAGCACUUUGAAAAGAGAGUCAAACAGCACGUGAAAUUGUUAAAAGGGAAGCACUCGCUACCAGACUUGGGUUUGGCGGUUCAACCGGGGCCACGCCCCGGGGCAUUCCGCCAGCUCAGGCCAGCAUCAGCUUUCCGUCGGGGGCAAAGACGUCGGGAAUGUGGCUCCCCCUCGGGGGAGUGUUAUAGCCCGGCGUGUCAUACCCUUCGGGGGGCUGAGGUACGCGCUUCUGCAAGGAUGCUGGCGUAAUGGUAGCUAGUGACCCGUCUUGAAACACGGACC
rnacentral:rRNA from 1 species